UACAGAGGUCUCAAGCGUUGUUCGGAUUCAUUGGGCGUAAAGGGUGCGUAGGUGGCGCGGUAAGUCGGGUGUGAAAUUUCGGGGCUUAACUCCGAAACUGCAUUCGAUACUGCCGUGCUUGAGGACUGGAGAGGAGACUGGAAUUUACGGUGUAGCGGUGAAAUGCGUAGAUAUCGUAAGGAAGACCAGUGGCGAAGGCGGGUCUCUGGACAGUUCCUGACGCUGAGGCACGAAGGCCAGGGGAGCAAACGGG
rnacentral:rRNA from 1 species